GUAGGUGGCAAGCGUUGUCCGGAAUUAUUGGGCGUAAAGCGCGCGCAGGCGGUUCUUUAAGUCUGAUGUGAAAGCCCACGGCUCAACCGUGGAGGGUCAUUGGAAACUGGAGAACUUGAGUACAGAAGAGGAAAGCGGAAUUCCACGUGUAGCGGUGAAAUGCGUAGAGAUGUGGAGGAACACCAGUGGCGAAGGCGGCUUUCUGGUCCGUAACUGACGCUGAGGCGCGAAAGCGUGGGGAGCAAACAGGGAUUAGAUACCCUGGUAGUCCUCGCCGUAAACGAUGAGUGCUAAGUGUUAGGGGGUUUCCCGCCCCUUAGUGCUGCAGCUAACGCAUUAAGCACUCCGCCUGGGGAGUACGGCCGCAAGGCUG
rnacentral:rRNA from 1 species